rnacentral:SRP_RNA from 1 species
UGGCCGGUCCCGCGCAGCGACGAUUUCCGAACCGCGCCAGGUCCGGAAGGAAGCAGCGCUAUGAUUGACAUCAAAGCUGCGGGUCGCCUGGGCCAU